UACGAGGGGGGCGAGCGUUGUUCGGAAUUAUUGGGCGUAAAGGGUGCGUAGGCGGUUUGGUAAGUCUUAUGUGAAAUCUACAGGCUCAACUUGUAGUCUGCAUGAGAAACUGCCGGGCUUGAGUGUGGGAGAGGUGAGUGGAAUUCCCGGUGUAGCGGUGAAAUGCGUAGAUAUCAGGAGGAACACCUGUGGCGAAAGCGGCUCACUGGACCAUAACUGACGCUGAUGCACGAAAGCUAGGGGAGCAAACAGG
rnacentral:rRNA from 1 species